AGGAUCUGAAGAAGAAGCUGAAGAAAAGCAGGACGGUGAAAAACCACUUUUGGAACUAUGAGUACUACUUUUGUGACAUGUGAGAAAUCCGUCACUGAAAGUCACUGGAGGAGGACAAGGACCAGAGCCGGGGUCUUUCCUGUUGCAGGUUGAAGUGCUGACACCCGCCGCUGACUUCAGCGGACGGCCGAUAAGGAACUUAUUUAUUGUAAUACCUCAUAGACGUCUUACCACACCCACGUACAUUUAGGAGCCUGCCUGCGGCAGGUGCAUCAUGUGAUGAGCCACACCGCCUUGGGUGAGACUGAGUCUGAUCUGUCCAUGAAUACUUGGAGCCGAGUCUUGUGCUGUAUUCCCGAUCAAAAGACUUCUUAAUAUAUUGGAAUAACACUUUUUUAGUAAGCAAAAUCUCUUUUUAUUUGCUUUGCAGGGUUGGAGGUUUUUUUUUUUUGUUUCAUGUCUCAGAUUUCUUUUGUAUUUCUUUUUUUAACAUCCUACAUUUCCCUCGUGUUUUUUAACUCACGCUUACGCGCUCUUUGUACAAUUUUAAAAAGUAAUAAAAUCCAACGUAUCGAA